GGGAAACUUCUGGUCAUCAGGUGUACAGUUCUCCUCAACCUGAAUAUAUGAUUGACAGCAGUGAUAACAUGCAAAUCAGAAUGGUUUAUUUGGUACUCGUAAUGUGAAUUAUUAUUUAUAUUUUUUAUUGUUGUUAUUAUUGAAACAUCCCAUGUGAUAAACUCUCUUGUCCCUGUGUUCCCUUGUGAGUUGGUCCCAAAUCUCCCGAAGGCAUCUAAUGGAAACAUGCAGGAGGAAGGUGAUGUCAUUUAUGAAGCUGUGGAAACAAUCUUAAAGUUGAGCGGAAUUCAGUGCCCGUUGAAUCAUUACUGGGUGUGUCACCUCAGAAGGACCAAGCUCAUAUCUAGAGAGGCUGCUCUGGCCCGUGCUGGGCUAAUUAUAUGUGAGUGACCUAUCACGCCUCAGAGGAGAUGUGUUCUUCCUUUUUUCUCCUUUUUUUUUUGGAGAGAUGAUGUGGAAGAAAAAUCUCUUGCCCUUGUC
ensembl:lncRNA